rnacentral:rRNA from 1 species
ACGUUGUUGCGGCUAAAAAGCCCGUAGUUGGAUUUGAGCACGUCACUUGUGCAUCCGAUGCUCCAGGGCUUCGGUUUUGGAACGUCGGGAGCACGAAUAGUGGGGUGCUGAGACAUGCGGGAACGUCCACUGGUACCUCGGUCAUUCAGUUGUCCGGGGUGCAACUUCGGAGAGAUUACACUCCUACAGGUGCGCCCGCAGCCGUCACUGUGAGUAAAACAGAGUGUUCAAGGCAACCAUCAACUUGGUUGAAUGUUAAAGCAUGGAAUGACAAAGGAUCGACCUUCGGGCCUCUUUUUGUUGGUUCUUUGUGCCUUGCAAGGGGAAUUUUGCGGCCAAGUCCCAAGAGGUCGUCCACCCCGUGGGGACUGAUUGGCUUGGUCGUGCCGGGAUCAAUAGGAGCACAGGGGGCUAUGGGUACUUGAGGGCUAGUGGUGAAAUACUGAGACCCCUCAAAGACCGACAUCAGCGAAAGCACUUAGCUAUUGUGCUUUCAUUAAUCAAGGACGAGAGAUCGGGGAUUGAAGAGGAUUAGACACCCUCGUAAUCCGUUCUGUAAAUUCUGCAGACUUGGGAUCGGUCAGCGCUCUGUAUUAAGACCUGAUCGGCACCUUCCUCCUCUAUCGAGAAAUC